rnacentral:rRNA from 1 species
UACAGAGGAUGCAAGCGUUAUCCGGAAUGAUUGGGCGUAAAGCGUCUGUAGGUGGCUUUUUAAGUCCGCCGUCAAAUCCCAGGGCUCAACUCUGGACAGGCGGUGGAAACUACCAAGCUGGAGUACGGUAGGGGCAGAGGGAAUUUCCGGUGGAGCGGUGAAAUGCGUAGAGAUCGGAAAGAACACCAACGGCGAAGGCGGGUUGCUGGGCUGACACUGACGCUGAGGCGCGAAAGCUAGGGGAGCGAACGGG